UACGGAGGAUGCGAGCGUUAUCCGGAUUUAUUGGGUUUAGAGGGUGCGUAGGCGGGCUUUUAAGUCAGCGGUAAAAAUUCGGGGCUCAACCCCGUCCGGCCGUUGAAACUGGGGGCCUUGAGUGGGCGAGAAGAAGGCGGAAUGCGUGGUGUAGCGGUGAAAUGCAUAGAUACCACGCAGAACCCCGAUUGCGAAGGCAGCCUUCCGGCGCCCUACUGACGCUGAGGCACGAAAGUGCGGGGAUCGAACAGG
rnacentral:rRNA from 1 species